AUUGAACGCUGGCGGCAUGCUUUACACAUGCAAGUCGAACGGUAACAAGCCUUCGGGUGCUGACGAGUGGCGAACGGGUGAGUAAUGCAUCGGAACGUGCCCAGAGGUGGGGGAUAACGCAGCGAAAGCUGUGCUAAUACCGCAUGUGAUCUGAGGAUGAAAGCGGGGGACCAGGCAGCAAUGUUUGGCCUCGCGCCUUUGGAGCGGCCGAUGUCAGAUUAGGUAGUUGGUGGGGUAAAGGCCUACCAAGCCGACGAUCUGUAGCUGGUCUGAGAGGACGACCAGCCACACUGGGACUGAGACACGGCCCAGACUCCUACGGGAGGCAGCAGUGGGGAAUUUUGGACAAUGGGCGCAAGCCUGAUCCAGCAAUGCCGCGUGCGGGAAGAAGGCCUUCGGGUUGUAAACCGCUUUUGUACGGAACGAAAAGGCUCUGGCUAAUACCUGGGGCUGAUGACGGUACCGUAAGAAUAAGCACCGGCUAACUACGUG
rnacentral:rRNA from 1 species